ACGAUCUUGUUGGGAGAAACCGGUUCAAUCCGGUGCCGAAGGAGCAACCGCCCCGGAAACUCUCAGGCCAAAGGACCAGCAAGGUGCC
rfam:Sinorhizobium fredii NGR234, complete genome.